AUGGAGGCGGAGCUCACUCGCGCGGUGCUCGUUACUGUCACCGGCACCCGCCAAACGGUGGAUUUGGCGUCCACGGCUGAGGCGCUACACAGAGAGUUCGAUAUCGGCCCGGCAGACAUGUCGAUUUGCCCGUAUUACCCGAAGGACUUACUCGUGCUCUGCAAGGAUGGGGCACUCCGGGAGCGCAUGGUGCGUUCUGGAAAGGCGUCUGCUUCCUGGUUCGACCUCAAGCUUCGACCGUGGAUUCGUCAAGCGCAGUCCACGGUGGCGCAUUUGCCAUUCCUUGUCCCUGUCUUGCUUCGUGGAGCUCCGGCGCAUGCAUGGAGCCAAGGGACAACGGCGGUCAUCCUGCGUGGACUGGGAUAUGUGGUGGGUGUGGACGACAGCAUUGCGCGCCAGCACGAUAUGGCGGAUUUCAGAGUCUGGCUACGUACGGACCGCCCAAGGAUGAUCCUGCGGCGCCGUCUACUCUUCAUCGACGAACUGAGGCGCACGCUAUGGGCGGGUGCUGUAGUCCGCCGUGUGACGGCUGUCCGGUGUGCUACUACACUCUGGUACCCCGUUGACAUCACCGUUCUUGCGGAGCUGACGCUGGUGGACUCUGAGGAGGUGGAAGAUCAGCCACCGCCAUCACCGCUCACAGGUGAUGAUGAUUGGCAGCCUAGUGCAGGUGCGGGUCGGCCUUCGGGUGGUGGGGCUCACAGCAAUGGUGGCUCUGGCGCCGCUGGGUCAGGUGAAGAUGCGGUGAGCAUGGCUGGCUCUUCGACGAUGGCGCCACUACCGGGCAGGCAGGUGAUUCAAACGGCUUGGGCCCCGGCGACCUCGGGCGUCCGUCAGCACGACAUCAGUAGCUGCGUGGCUGCCGUCACGGGAUCGGGUUUGGUGGCUAGGCCCAACCUGGCUGGGGAAGUGUGCGGCGACCGGCCGUUCGCAUGCGACCGCAUGCAGCCAAGGGAGGAUAUUGGUCAGGUCGGUGGACUGGAAAGUGCGGCUAACCCCACAAUCCUGUGUCCGCUUGUGGCGUCGUGUGUGGCUCCUCGACCAAGGCUACAAGCGGCAGGGCCCGCUGUCUCCCCUGCGUCUGUGCAGCUUUCCAGGUGGAUGCUCAGUGGUGGAACGAAUCGUGUCGGGUCAGUCCAGUUGGGCUCCUUGCUGCUAGACCUAUCUGGUCUGACCGGAGAGGAUGGGCCUACUUUUGCUGGCAGGCCCACUAUGGUGGGAAUCAGGCCAUGGGAUUUGUUCCAAGUUAGCCUAUCAGAAGAGGGGGAUCUGCAUAUUGAUGGGAUGCCCCAUGCACGUCACAACGUGAGGAAACAGACGGGACUGUACCGGUCACGCAACCGGAUAGGGCCCAGCCUGGGGAAGGGGGAAACCAAACUACAAGAUGUAUCAGUGACCGUUGUACAACAAUGCCUUGGAAAUCAAUAUCAAACGGAGUCCAAACACCGCGAAACUUUUUGUGGAUUUUUUAUGGAUCAGAAGACUCCUGAUGGGCUAGAGCAGCACCUGGGGGCACAACCCACCAGGGCGCUCCUGGGGGCUCAGGCAUGCCCAGGUGGGUUGUGCCCA
rnacentral:rRNA from 1 species